UACGGGGGGCAAGGCGUUGUUCGGAAUUACUGGGCGUAAAGGGCUCGUAGGCGGCCAACUAAGUCAGACGUGAAAUCCCUCGGCUUAACCGGGGAACUGCGUUCUGAUUACUGGAUGGCUUGAGAUUGGGAGAGGGAUGCGGAAUUCCAGGUGUAGCGGUGAAAUGCGUAGAUAUCUGGAGGAACACCGGUGGCGAAGGCGGCUCACUGGGGCUUUUCUGACGCUGAGGAACGAAAGCCAGGUGAGCGAACGGG
rnacentral:rRNA from 1 species